ensembl:snRNA U6 U6 spliceosomal RNA
GUGCUCACUUUGCAGCACAUACACUAAAAUUGGAAUGAGACAGAGAAGAUGUGAAUGGCCCCUGCACAGGGAUGACAGGCCAAUUUGUGAAGUGUUCCAGGUUUUU